GGAGCUUUGCUGAAACUGCACAAAAAAUCGAGCUGGGGGGUUCCCUGGUCCCCGAUGUUGGGGCGGAGAGCGCGGCGCCGAGGGAGGGGGCGGCGCAGACCGGCCUAGGGGACACCUGGUCGAGCGCAGCCGCCGCUCCGCUCGAGCCCUGCGCUCCAGUGCCCCCACUGGCUGGAGAGCUCGCCCAGACCGGGGGUCUUCCUCCGUCGCUGACAGAUUUUAACCAUUAGAAGAAUACCAGUUCUGGAAAACAACCAAAGUUUCUUUGAUUGAAUGCCCAUGUAAUGCAUUGGAAUAUGAUAGGCGAUUAAGGUUUAACAAUGUUAAAAUGAAGAUAUUACUAAAAUGGCCCUCUAAAUAGCCCAACAAUUAUUAUUUUCUUUGUCCUAUGGAUUUGGCUUUGAAAGAUGUGCUGCUCUUAAUAAGGUUUGCACCACAGUGUUUCAAUAGCAAGGCUGAUGACUUGAGUAUGAAAGCUGUGAAUCAGGAUGCCAGGCAGACAGAAUGGAUAACAUUCUAAUUAAAUGAUCAGCAUUAAUUCUCUCUCUCGGGCAGAAACCUACGUGUUCCUCUUCCAGAGAGCUGGUGAAGCCAAAGGCAUUCUCAUAAUGAUGCGCUACACCGACUGACAUUUACCAACUGUGUCAAAGCUACAGGAGCCAGGUAGACACUGCUGGAACUUUAACGGGAAUCAAACAAGUCUAUAAGAAGCACUGAGCUGUGCCACUACCCAAUCAGUGUUCUUCCAGAGCACACAAACGAAAGUGGGAGGAGCCUUCCAAUGAGAACUGUUGUGUGAUUAAUCAAUGAGGCUGACUAAAGCACACACUUAUAAUCCCAAUACUCAGAAAGACAGAGGAAGAAGGAUAUCAGCGCAAGGCCAACAAGGCUUCAAAGCAAGUACCAACCCAGUAUGGACCAUGAGACCCUAUUUCAGAAACAAAUAAUAAAAGCUUGAUGAAGCUGCAAAAA
rnacentral:lncRNA from 1 species